AAAUGCGAUAAUUAAUGUGAAUUGCAGAAUUCAGUGAAUCAUCGAGUCUUUGAACGCACAUUGCGCCCCCUGGUAUUCCGGGGGGCAUGCCUGUCCGAGCGUCAUUGCUGCCCUCAAGCACGGCUUGUGUGUUGGGCUUCCGUCCCUGGCAACGGGGACGGGCCCAAAAGGCAGUGGCGGCACCAUGUCUGGUCCUCGAGCGUAUGGGGCUUUGUCACCCGCUCCCGUAGGUCCAGCUGGCAGCUAGCCUCGCAACCAAUCUUUUUAACCAGGUUGACCUCGGAUCAGGUAGGGAUACCCGCUGAACUUACGC
rnacentral:misc_RNA from 1 species